AUUGAACGCUGGCGGCAGGCCUAACACAUGCAAGUCGGACGGUAGCACAGAGAGCUUGCUCUCGGGUGACGAGUGGCGGACGGGUGAGUAAUGUCUGGGGAUCUGCCCGAUAGAGGGGGAUAACCACUGGAAACGGUGGCUAAUACCGCAUAACGUCGCGAGACCAAAGAGGGGGACCUUCGGGCCUCGCACUAUCGGAUGAACCCAGAUGGGAUUAGCUAGUAGGCGGGGUAACGGCCCACCUAGGCGACGAUCCCUAGCUGGUCUGAGAGGAUGACCAGCCACACUGGAACUGAGACACGGUCCAGACUCCUACGGGAGGCAGCAGUGGGGAAUAUUGCACAAUGGGCGCAAGCCUGAUGCAGCCAUGCCGCGUGUAUGAAGAAGGCCUUCGGGUUGUAAAGUACUUUCAGCGGGGAGGAAGGCGAUGUGGUUAAUAACCGCAUUGAUUGACGUUACCCGCAGAAGAAGCACCGGCUAACUCCGUGCCAGCCGCCGCCGUAA
rnacentral:rRNA from 1 species